rnacentral:rRNA from 1 species
AGUGAACGCUGGCGGUAGGCCUAACACAUGCAAGUCGAACGGCAGCACAGUAAGAGCUUGCUCUUACGGGUGGCGAGUGGCGGACGGGUGAGGAAUACAUCGGAAUCUACUUUUUCGUGGGGGAUAACGUAGGGAAACUUACGCUAAUACCGCAUACGACCUACGGGUGAAAGCAGGGGAUCUUCGGACCUUGCGCGAUUGAAUGAGCCGAUGUCGGAUUAGCUAGUUGGCGGGGUAAAGGCCCACCAAGGCGACGAUCCGUAGCUGGUCUGAGAGGAUGAUCAGCCAAACUGGAACUGAGACACGGUCCAGACUCCUACGGGAGGCAGCAGUGGGGAAUAUUGGACAAUGGGCGCAAGCCUGAUCCAGCCAUACCGCGUGGGUGAAGAAGGCCUUCGGGUUGUAAAGCCCUUUUGUUGGGAAAGAAAAGCAGCAGGUUAAUACCCCGCUGUUCUGACGGUACCCAAAGAAUAAGCACCGGCUAACUUCGG